rnacentral:rRNA from 1 species
AAUGGGUCAGCGACUUAUAUUCUGUAGCAAGGUUAACCGAAUAGGGGAGCCGAAGGGAAACCGAGUCUUAACUGGGCGUUAAGUUGCAGGGUAUAGACCCGAAACCCGGUGAUCUAGCCAUGGGCAGGUUGAAGGUUGGGUAACACUAACUGGAGGACCGAACCGACUAAUGUUGAAAAAUUAGCGGAUGACUUGUGGCUGGGGGUGAAAGGCCAAUCAAACCGGGAGAUAGCUGGUUCUCCCCGAAAGCUAUUUAGGUAGCGCCUCGUGAAUUCAUCUCCGGGGGUAGAGCACUGUUUCGGCAAGGGGGUCAUCCCGACUUACCAACCCGAUGCAAACUGCGAAUACCGGAGAAUGUUAUCACGGGAGACACACGGCGGGUGCUAACGUCCGUCGUGAAGAGGGAAACAACCCAGACCGCCAGCUAAGGUCCCAAAGUCAUGGUUAAGUGGGAAACGAUGUGGGAAGGCCCAGACAGCCAGGAUGUUGGCUUAGAAGCAGCCAUCAUUUAAAGAAAGCGUAAUAGCUCACUGGUCGAGUCGGCCUGCGCGGAAGAUGUAACGGGGCUAAACCAUGCACCGAAGCUGCGGCAGCGACGCUUAUGCGUUGUUGGGUAGGGGAGCGUUCUGUAAGCCUGUGAAGGUGUGCUGUGAGGCAUGCUGGAGGUAUCAGAAGUGCGAAUGCUGACAUAAGUAACGAUAAAGCGGGUGAAAAGCCCGCUCGCCGGAAGACCAAGGGUUCCUGUCCAACGUUAAUCGGGGCAGGGUGAGUCGACCCCUAAGGCGAGGCCGAAAGGCGUAGUCGAUGGGAAACAGGUUAAUAUUCCUGUACUUGGUGUUACUGCGAAGGGGGGACGGAGAAGGCUAUGUUGGCCGGGCGACGGUUGUCCCGGUUUAAGCGUGUAGGCUGGUUUUCCAGGCAAAUCCGGAAAAUCAAGGCUGAGGCGUGAUGACGAGGCACUACGGUGCUGAAGCAACAAAUGCCCUGCUUCCAGGAAAAGCCUCUAAGCAUCAGGUAACAUCAAAUCGUACCCCAAACCGACACAGGUGGUCAGGUAGAGAAUACCAAGGCGCUUGAGAGAACUCGGGUGAAGGAACUAGGCAAAAUGGUGCCGUAACUUCGGGAGAAGGCACGCUGAUAUGUAGGUGAAGUCCCUUGCGGAUGGAGCUGAAAUCAGUCGAAGAUACCAGCUGGCUGCAACUGUUUAUUAAAAACACAGCACUGUGCAAACACGAAAGUGGACGUAUACGGUGUGACGCCUGCCCGGUGCCGGAAGGUUAAUUGAUGGGGUCAGCGCAAGCGAAGCUCUUGAUCGAAGCCCCGGUAAACGGCGGCCGUAACUAUAACGGUCCUAAGGUAGCGAAAUUCCUUGU